rnacentral:misc_RNA from 1 species
GGAACUCAAUUGAACUUUAGCUACUAGUUCAGGACUAAUAGUGCCCUUAUUCUAUUGUCUUUAACAUAAAUUCCAUUCUAAAUAAUUGAAUUAUUCAUAAUCAGAAAGUGCAAAUUAAAGGUUCACUAUUGACGCAACUAUGUUAUUCAUUUCAACAUGUGAGACCCAGUUGGCUUAUGUAUACACAAAGUUGAAGAUUCCUAAUGAUUCCUUUGUUUUGUCAUAUCCAGCAACAGUUGCAGUCUUUGAUUGGUAAAACUUGAUUGAUAUCAUUGCCUUUCAUUUUAGGUCAAGCCCUCCCAGCUAACAUCCCACCAUCUAAUUCCAACAAUUUUUUUCAUUGUUGAUGUCAUUCACAGCACACUUAUUGUUUUCCAAAAUUAACUAACUAUUUUAUAGUAAUAAUGACUAAACUCACACAAAUCACAUUCCCUUCCCCAUGGCUGAAUUAAAACAUAACAAAAGAAGCUUACUUCAAUAAACUAAUACAAGGUCAACUCCAAAAUUAACCAACUAUUUUAUACUAAUAUUGACUAAACUCACACAAAUCACAUUCCCUUCCCCAUGGCUGAAUUAAAACAUAACAAAA